rnacentral:rRNA from 1 species
AUUGAACGCUGGCGGCAGGCCUAACACAUGCAAGUCGAGCGGAUGAAGGGAGCUUUCUCCUGGAUUCAGCGUCGGACGGGUGAGUAAUGCCUAGGAAUCUGCCUGGUAGUGGGGGAUAACGUCCGGAAACGGGCGCUAAUACCGCAUACGUCCUGAGGGUGAAAGAGGGGGAUCUUCGGACCUCACGCUAUCAGAUGAGCCUAGGUCGGGUUAGCUAGUUGGUGGGGUAAAGGCCUACCAAGCCGACGAUCCGUAACUGGUCUGAGAGGAUGAUCAGUCACAUUGGAACUGAGACACGGUCCAGACUCCUACGGGAGGCAGCAGUGGGGAAUAUUGGACAAUGGGCGAAAGCCUGAUCCAGCCAUGCCGCGUGUGUGAAGAAGGUCUUCGGAUUGUAAAGCACUUUAAGUUGGGAGGAAGGGCAGUAAGUUAAUACCUUGCUGUUUUGACGUUACCAACAGAAUAAGCACCGGCUAACUUCGUG